rnacentral:lncRNA from 1 species
AAUUUUUGAGUGGGGAUUUUUGCAACACCUCACAAAUGGCAUUUGAAACUUGUUGGAAUAUUCAUAACAUGCUAAGGCUUCAUGGUUUGGAAAUUAGCUUUUGAAAUGAAUUGAAAAAAUGGACACAUAAGCCAUCACAUAGUGAAAAUGCAAAGUAUGAAGAAUUUGGACAUGGGACCAAUUCUAUCAGCUUCCAAAUGAUAUUUGUGGUUUGCUUGAAGUGAUAAAUUGCUGCUACAUUGCUUCUAA